rnacentral:rRNA from 1 species
UUUGACUGGGGCGGUCUCCUCCUAAAGAGUAACGGAGGAGCACGAAGGUUGGCUAAUCCUGGUCGGACAUCAGGAGGUUAGUGCAAUGGCAUAAGCCAGCUUGACUGCGAGCGUGACGGCGCGAGCAGGUGCGAAAGCAGGUCAUAGUGAUCCGGUGGUUCUGAAUGGAAGGGCCAUCGCUCAACGGAUAAAAGGUACUCCGGGGAUAACAGGCUGAUACCGCCCAAGAGUUCAUAUCGACGGCGGUGUUUGGCACCUCGAUGUCGGCUCAUCACAUCCUGGGGCUGAAGUAGGUCCCAAGGGUAUGGCUGUUCGCCAUUUAAAGUGGUACGCGAGCUGGGUUUAGAACGUCGUGAGACAGUUCGGUCCCUAUCUGCCGUGGGCGCUGGAGAACUGAGGGGGGCUGCUCCUAGUACGAGAGGACCGGAGUGGACGCAUCACUGGUGUUCGGGUUGUCAUGCCAAUGGCACUGCCCGGUAGCUAAAUGCGGAAGAGAUAAGUGCUGAAAGCAUCUAAGCACGAAACUUGCCCCGAGAUGAGUUCUCCCUGACUCCUUGAGAGUCCUGAAGGAACGUUGAAGACGACGACGUUGAUAGGCCGGGUGUGUAAGCGCAGCGAUGCGUUGAGCUAACCGGUACU